GAUCAUGGCUCAGAUUGAACGCUGGCGGCAGGCUUAACACAUGCAAGUCGAACGGUAACAUAAAGAAGCUUGCUUCUUUGAUGACGAGUGGCGGACGGGUAAGUAAUGCUUGGGAAUCUAGCUUAUGGAGGGGAUAACUACGGGAAACUGUAGCUAAUACCGCGUAAUAUCGAAAGAUUAAAGUGUGGGACCUUCGGGCCACAUGCCAUAGGAUGAGCCCAAGUGGGAUUAGGUAGUUGGUGAAGG
rnacentral:rRNA from 1 species